GAGCCUGAUGCAGCGACGCCGCGUGGGGGAUGACGGCCUUCGGGUUGUAAACUCCUUUCGCUAGGGACGAAGCUUUUUGUGACGGUACCUAGAUAAGAAGCACCGGCUAACUACGUGCCAGCAGCCGCGGUAAUACGUAGGGUGCGAGCGUUGUCCGGAAUUACUGGGCGUAAAGGGCUCGUAGGUGGUUUGUCGCGUCGUCUGUGAAAUUCCGGGGCUUAACUCCGGGCGUGCAGGCGAUACGGGCAUAACUUGAGUACUGUAGGGGUAACUGGAAUUCCUGGUGUAGCGGUGAAAUGCGCAGAUAUCAGGAGGAACACCGAUGGCGAAGGCAGGUUACUGGGCAGUUACUGACGCUGAGGAGCGAAAGCAUGGGUAGCGAACAGGAUUAGAUACCCUGGUAGUCCAUGCCGUAAACGGUGGGCGCUAGGUGUGAGGGUCUUUUCACGACUUUCGUGCCGUAGCUAACGCAUUAAGCGCCCCGCCUGGGGAGUACGGCCGCAAGGCUAAAACUCAAAGGAAUUGACGG
rnacentral:rRNA from 1 species